rnacentral:rRNA from 1 species
AUUGAACGCCGGCGGCAGGCCUAACACAUGCAAGUCGAGCGGAUGACGGGAGCUUGCUCCUUGAUUCAGCGGCGGACGGGUGAGUAAUGCCUAGGAAUCUGCCUGGUAGUGGGGGACAACGUUUCGAAAGGAACGCUAAUACCGCAUACGUCCUACGGGAGAAAGCAGGGGACCUUCGGGCCUUGCGCUAUCAGAUGAGCCUAGGUCGGAUUAGCUAGUAGGUGAGGUAAUGGCUCACCUAGGCGACGAUCCGUAACUGGUCUGAGAGGAUGAUCAGUCACACUGGAACUGAGACACGGUCCAAACUCCUACGGGAGGCAGCAGUGGGGAAUAUUGGACAAUGGGCGAAAGCCUGAUCCAGCCAUGCCGCGUGUGUGAAGAAGGUCUUCGGAUUGUAAAGCACUUUAAGUUGGGAGGAAGGGCAGUAAGUUAAUACCUUGCUGUUUUGACGUUACCGACAGAAUAAGCACCGGCUAACUCUGUGCCAGCCGCCGCCGUAA